AGACAGCAGUAGCCGCGGGAAUACAGAGGGUGCAAGCGUUAAUCUGAAUUACUGGGCGUAAAGCGCGCGUAGGUGGUUUGUUAAGUUGGAUGUGAAAUCCCCGGGCUCAACCUGGGAACUGCAUCCAAAACUGGCAAGCUAGAGUAUGGUAUAGGGUGGUGGAAUUUCCUGUGUAGCGGUGAAAUGCGUAGAUAUAGGAAGGAACACCAGUGGCGAAGGCGACCACCUGGACUGAUACUGACACUGAGGUGCGAAAGCGUGGGGAGCAAACAGGAUUAGAUACCCGUGUAGUCCCUGUCUCUUAUAC
rnacentral:rRNA from 1 species